rnacentral:rRNA from 1 species
AGUGAACGCUGGCGGUAGGCCUAACACAUGCAAGUCGAACGGCAGCACAGUAAGAGCUUGCUCUUACGGGUGGCGAGUGGCGGACGGGUGAGGAAUACAUCGGAAUCUACUUUUUCGUGGGGGAUAACGUAGGGAAACUUACGCUAAUACCGCAUACGACCUACGGGUGAAAGCAGGGGAUCUUCGGACCUUGCGCGAUUGAAUGAGCCGAUGUCGGAUUAGCUAGUUGGCGGGGUAAAGGCCCACCAAGGCGACGAUCCGUAGCUGGUCUGAGAGGAUGAUCAGCCACACUGGAACUGAGACACGGUCCAGACUCCUACGGGAGGCAGCAGUGGGGAAUAUUGGACAAUGGGCGCAAGCCUGAUCCAGCCAUACCGCGUGGGUGAAGAAGGCCUUCGGGUUGUAAAGCCCUUUUGUGGGAAAGAAAAGCAGCAGGUUAAUACCCCGCUGUUCUGACGGUGCCCAAAGAAUAAGCACCGGCUAACUUCGUG